GCAUGAACAAUUCACUGCCUCUGGGGCUCAAGGCCUGGAAGGACCCAGAUGGAGGCACGCUGCCUAGAGUAUUUCCUAGACAGGGCCUUGCUGUAGCCUGCAAAGCUUCCCUGCACUGACUGCUGUCAUGUGCUAGGUGUGCUAGUCUGUGAGGUGGGUAUUGCUACAACUCCCAAUGGUCAGAUGGGGAAACUGAGGCCCAGAAAGGCAACAGGGAGCUUCCGUCCAUGAUCACCAGGCUAGCACAUGGCAGCAAUAAGGCUGCUCUUGGGAACUCUGGCUUCAUUCAUGUCCUAUGGUUCAACUUUACCCCUCAGGGACCUAUUGUUAUAAAGCAAACCCAGAAAAGCCUCAGGUCUCCUUUCCUUGGCUCCCUUCACUGACCUCCUACCUCUUUCAGGCCAAGAUCUGUGUGUCCUGACCUAGAGUGGGGAUACUGGGCUCCCACUGCUGCAUCCCCUGAGGGUGCCAGAUAUCCCACUCUCACAAAGCCAGCCUCAGGAUGAUUGGCCCAGGAGCUCAGCUGGGUACCUCAGCAGCCUGUGCCCACUUGCCUCCUUCCAGCUGCUGCCCAGAAUAUGUCCAGUCCUGCGCACAAGGAUCUGUAGUAGCUCGAGUUGGAAGACUGGAGCUGCCUGAGCGAAGGGAGGGACAACAGCUUCCCAGCGACUCAGCAGCCGCAGGGUGGGCUGCUCAUGGGAGUGGAGGGCACCGCGAUGAGCUUCACCCACUCCAGGUGAGCGCUGUCUUGUGCAUCACUUCCCAGCCUUUGCAGCAUCCCUUUGCAGAGGUCCAUGAGAUGACGCAGCAAGUAUUUGUUGACUACUGUGGAGACUCACGUUGGCGGUCUCUCCAGGAGCCGAAGAGUGAAAACGCACACAGCGGACACCCAGAAACAGUAAGCCGCAGUUUUUUUUUAAAUUUUAUUUAUUAAUGUAGGGAGCGUGCUAUGGCGAGGAUGUUGCGGCCAGAGGACAACUUUGUGUAAGUUCAUCUUUGAGUGGGUUUCGGGAUCCAGCUCAGAUCAACAGGCUUUGCACCGCAAGCUCCUUUAUUUGCUGAGCCAUCUUUUCCGCAGCUAUUGGUGUUUUCAAUGCUGUGACUGUUGAUUACAGAAGGCUGGGGGCAGAGAAUGCUACUGACACCGGGGAAGCCUCAACAGCCAGAAGACCUCACAAGGGGAACUCGGGAAGUGGUAGCCCUCCAGUCUCACAUAGCCUCUCUGUAGCCCGUAGGAGACUGACCCUUGUAGUACCCCGCCCACGCGCUCUGCGGGCCUCACAGCAGCUUGAUGGGUGGGGCCUCUUAAUUCAGCAGCGAGGGGGCGGAGCCUCUAGUCUUGUCUAUUGCUGGCCCUGCAGAGCAGGGGGCGGAGCCUUUGGAGGCCACCCCUCCCAUAUGGCUCCGCCCACCAACGACCCUUUAGUAUUGGGCGGGACCCAGGCGGACGCCCUUCCUUCAGGCCCCGCCUACUGCAGGAUCUGCAGGGCAGAGGGAGGAGCCUGCGAAAGCCUUCUCUUCAUCCAGCCCCGCCUACGGUCGACUUGGAAGCGCAGGGGCGGAGCCUGAAGACGCGCCGCCUUGCGCGGCGCCGGGGGUGAGGUAGGAGGAGGAGCCGAUGCUGGUCUGCAGUGCAGCGCGAAUGCGCGAGCAGGCGGCCAAGGCCCUGAGGUGCGGCCUGCCCCAGAGCGCUGAGCAGCUGUCGCGCCGCAGACAGGCCACGGCCCCCGCGGUAUCCUGUCCCGGCCCGCAUCAUGAGGUCCGCGGGCCCCUCCUGAACUGCGGCUGCCGGCGCACGGGGCCUCGGGGAGCCGGGGCC
rnacentral:lncRNA from 1 species